GGCAAACCACCGGGCGGUGGACCCUUGGCACCAAGCGGUGGCGUGAUUAUGGGCAAACCGCCGGGCGACAUAAGUGUGACGUGGAGCGGUUGUCUGCUGGGCUUGGGCCUAUUUUCUGUGACGCUCCUCAGCUAUAAAUAGCCUUGUUACGAUUUCAUUCUCAUUUUUUUUACAGAAGAGGGCGGCCAGACCUAAUUUUCAC
rnacentral:lncRNA from 1 species